UCAGCAGGGCCCUGGGGCAAAACAGCCGGGGGGUGAUGUACCCGGGGCAUUCAGCUGCAGGUGAUACAGCUGCCGGAGGGAGCCUGGAGAGGGUGGCCACAGCAG